GUGCCAGCCGCCGCGGUAAUACGGGGGGAGCUAACGUUGUUCGGAUUCACUGGGCGUAAAGGGCGUGUAGGCGGUCUGGUAAGUCAGGGGUGAAAUCCCGCGGCUCAACCGUGGAGUUGCCUUUGAAACUGCCGGACUUGAGGCCGUGAGAGGAGACUGGAAUUCCCAGUGUAGCGGUGAAAUGCAUAGAUAUUGGGAAGAACACCAGUGGCGAAGGCGAGUCUCUGGCACGGUUCUGACGCUGAGGCGCGAAAGCUAGGGGAGCAAACGGGAUUAGAUACCCCCGUAGUCC
rnacentral:rRNA from 1 species